rnacentral:lncRNA from 1 species
UAUUUCAGAAAUUAACAACAAUGAACAACACACUUUUAAAAUAUGCAAAAAUGGUACCUCUGCGCUGUGUGCGUCAGUACUUCCUGUCUUCAUAACUGUCAGUGUGAGCUGCCGAGGCGCCACAAAUCAGAUGAUGGAGUGUCUGUGGCGACGCCUCCACAUCCUGCUACAGGUCUCCUUCUGGGUCUGUUUCGUCACAGGUACUAUAGCCUACUUCAAAACUGUCAAAUUGAUGAAUUAUUGAAGUUCACAAGAGGUUGUUUUACUGAAUCAGGUGAAGAAUUAAGCAUAAUUUGAAACAGUAUUUCAGUGUGAGUGGUACAGUAAAAUCGAGAAAUAUACAACAGAUGUGUUAGCAUGAAAUGAACAUGAUUUUGGCUUACAUGAAUGUUUACUGUCUUCCUAUGUGAUUCUCUUCAAAGGUUCAAAUGUAGAAUGGAGACGGGUUGGGGAAAAGAUAGUAAUAACUUGCUCCACUGAUAAACCAACUCAAAGUGCAGUGUAUCUUUACAAGAGCUACCACCAAAGGCAGUCGGUGUUCUAUCUCCUUAAAGAGGGGGUUCCGAGUCGCACGGUAGCCUACAAGGACAAGGUUAAAGUUACAGGCUUCAACAAGCUGAGAGCCACAAUUAGCAACCUAACCGUAAAUGACACUGGAGUUUUCUGGUGCCAGUACUUGAGACAUGAUGGACCAACAAACCAUGAAACUGAAAACAAAGAGGGUGAAACAUUGUUGGUGGUCAAUGGUAAGUAUAUAUUUAUUUUGAUCUCUGAAAUUCAUUUUGUGAUUUGGUCAAAUAUUUUAGGGGUUGGCAAAGUAUUUACACUAAAUUUCCCAUCCUCCAUUUUUCAAUGUUGUCACAAAGUGGAUUAUUGUUGUUCAUUUAACUCAGGGCCGGAGAAGGUGUGCCCCACACAUGGGCCAUACGCAACCACCAGCACAGAGGAGUCCAGUCAGACCUUGUGGAUCGUGGGUGCUGUCACCGUCUGCUCACUGGUUCUGCUGGUGCUCAUUAUCCUGCUCAUCUCGGUGAAGAGGUGCUGUGUACACAAUGGAAAGUACAGGUGUCAUCCCCAGUCUGCCGUUGGACCCCCAGCACAUCGCUCCGAUUCUGUUUAUGAGCAGAUGAGGCCCCAGAGGGCCACCUCUAUGUCUCCACAGAGGGCCACCUCUAUGUCUCCACAGAGGGCCACCUCUAUGUCUCACUCCUCUGCCCGGGUACUCAUCAACCCUACCUACUAGCUUCACCCAAAUAACCCACAUCCUACCACCCCCCUUCAGUAAGAAUCAACACUGGCACGCCAGCUUCAUAUUUUCAUUUGACAAGUGCACUGAAAUUCAUUAGCCUGUGUGUCCAAACUUGCUUGCUUGAAAAAUUAAACCGGUUUGAAUUUAUUUAAUUUAUGUUUUGAAUUAUGUUUAAAUCCAAUGUGUGAAGCAUUUUGAUGUAUCAUUCACUCGUGUAACACAAACAUUUUGGUCAUUGAGAUCGAAUGCAGCAUCAGAUUGUGAAAUGUUCGUGUAAGACCGUAGUGAUACAUGGAGCAAAGGGUCAUGUAGUUAUUAACCUUUCAUAGGAAUGGAUAUACUCAGCCAAUUCUCCUUUGGCUGUCUUUCCAGAAACUGCUUUCUUUUUAUACAGGGUAGAUCAAACAAAACUAACAUACAGUACUUCAUCUGUGUGUACCUGUAACAUAUAUGAGGUAGUUGUAAGAGGUUUGCCACUUUAUAAUACAAAACUGAUUUUAAUAUGCACAAAAUGUAAUAUGAUCAGAUGUAUAUAACUGUUAUGCACCACAUUAUAUUUGUGCGAAUUGAAUAUCCACCUUUGUGGUUUUUUAAUUGUCAUAUGAUUGUAUAGAUUAAUUUCAAUAUGCCUGUCAUAUACACAGUGUAUGUUGCAAUUGUUAUAUAUGUAGCAUGGAUUAUGUAGCAUUGAAUAAAAGUGUUUAACAAGUAAAUUAUGUGGCGAUU